ensembl:snRNA U6 U6 spliceosomal RNA
GUGCUCUCUUUGGCAGCACAUCCAUUAAAAUUGGACCGAUACAGAGAUUAGCAUGGCCUCUGUGCAAGGAUGAUACGCACAUUUGUGAAGCAUUCCGCAUUUCU